GGCAUGGUGCUGCAGUGGAUAGCACUGUCGCCUCUCAGCAAGAAGGUUCUGGGUUUGAAUCCCAGCCAAUUUU
rnacentral:tRNA from 1 species